GUCAUUACCUCACACUGCUACUGCGCUGAACAAACGUUACAGUAUUAUUCCUACUAACAUGGUAGUUUAAACUUAACAUGCCGAAAGGAAAAUUAUUGCAUUUGAUGAAAAGAUUAUUUACUGCAAUAUUUUUUUUGUUCUAAAAUUAAACAUCUGAAUUAUGUCGUUUACGUGAAAGUUUGGUAAAUAUUUAUAAACAGACGCUGUAUGACGAUGUUAUUACUGUCACGACAGAUAUUUGUCAUCAUUAACAGCUAGGUAUUUAUUUAAUAGGAAUUAAAUGACUCAAACCGCCAUUUGUCAUCAGUAAUGAAAGUUGGUGUUACAAGCAGCGAAAGUAUACAGCACGCAGAAGAAAUGUAUCAUAGAAGAAAUAGUGGUAAAAUUAUGUGUCCUAAAAUAAUGAGAGCAAAUAGUGUUUUUAUAUCGCAGAUAAGUAGAAGAAAGAUGUGGCUCAAUGGUCCCUCAGUCAUAAUACGUCAGAAGGCACAUAGUGGCACGAUAUCAUAUAAAGAAUAUAUAACAAAACGAAUAGCGAACAGUGAGCAAAAACCCUGAAGAAUAGAGAAUAAUGGGUUUGCAAAAUUUAUAAAAUUAUUGUGGAAAAAAAUAAUUAGGUAAUACAAUUCUGGUUAAAAACAGAAAAAAAAAGGAAAAUCGUUUUCAUGAGAUCUGUUAUUUUAAGAGUAAAAACAAAAUAAACUUAAAAUAUAAAGAAUACAACAAUUUAGUCAGGACCCCAUCCAUACCCUUAUACUAGUAUAUGGAGUGAGAUACAAUAUUUGUACAGUGUAGGAAAACAUAAAUAUUUGACAUGCUUUAGGAACAGGGAGAAAAAAGCGAGGCUCACCGAGUAAUUAUACCAGUAUACUCUUUCACCAUUUCAAUCUGAAAAAGUUUGUUGAAAACGAAAAAACGG
rnacentral:lncRNA from 1 species